GUGUCAGCAGCCGCGGUAAUACAGGGGGUGCAAACGUUGCUCGGAAUUAUUGGGCGUAAAGCGCGCGUAGGUGGUGACUCAAGUCGGAUGUGAAAGCCCUUGGCUUAACCGAGGAAGUGCAUCCGAAACUGAGUCGCUAGAGUUUGGAAGAGGGUCGCGGAAUUCCCGGUGUAGAGGUGAAAUUCGUAGAUAUCGGGAGGAACACCAGUGGCGAAGGCGGCGACCUGGUCCGAGACUGACACUGAGGCGCGAAAGCGUGGGGAGCAAACAGGAUUAGAAACCCGUGUAGUCC
rnacentral:rRNA from 1 species